UACGAAGGGGGCUAGCGUUGCUCGGAAUCACUGGGCGUAAAGGGCGCGUAGGCGGCCAUUCAAGUCAGGGGUGAAAGCCUGUGGCUCAACCACAGAAUUGCCUUUGAUACUGUCUGGCUCGAGACCGGAAGAGGUGAGUGGAACUGCGAGUGUAGAGGUGAAAUUCGUAGAUAUUCGCAAGAACACCAGUGGCGAAGGCGGCUCACUGGUCCGGUUCUGACGCUGAGGCGCGAAAGCGUGGGGAGCAAACAGG
rnacentral:rRNA from 1 species